AGGAGUUGAAGCUGGAUUGAGAACAACAACCUCCUCCAAUUUGUCAUUGCAGUAACAACUCUGUAAGGGCUCAGCAGAAGAGGAGGAAACCUGGAGAAGGCCUCAUGUUGUCAUGGCAACGGCAUCCCUGGCCCUGAUCUGUAGAGUAGGUGCAAUAGCUUCCUUGCUGAGGCCUCUUGAGGGUUGUCAAAAGUCUAUAGGAACAAAAGAAGCCAAAAAGACAACCUUGUUUUCUCAAGAAGACAGAGGACAUGGAAUAGAGGGAUUAAAGACCAGUCACUAGAUAUUUCUUCUAAAAAAGACACUGCUGAGAUGAUUGUGCUAAAAAGGGAAUGUAGCUCUUCCCAAUAUAGUGAUUGUGAUUCUUUCCAAUUAGAAACAAUUUCCAUGUUGUUGCCAAAAAAGGAUGUAAAUGCAAUUAAGCUAAAUUCAAGGGCAUCUUUAUGUUGAGAUCCACUCACUUCAGUUUUUGUAAUUCAAAGUAUCCUGAAAGACUAAAUAUGCUAAAAAUGUAAGGUAAGCUUUUUACAAUUUACAACAAUAGCAUACAUUACAGUCCUUUAUGUUAUCUUAUGUGGUAUCAGUUGCCAUCAUUACAAUACCUUCUGCUCAUUAAUGCUAUGCUGUCUGGGCAUUUUAACACGAAUUUUCUACAUUGCAAGAGAGGCUGCCCAUUUUACCUGAUCCAAAAUUUGUUUAUAAUCUAACAUUCCUAUGCAAUGUAAUUGAUUCCUGAAGCUAUGGAAACCCAACAGUAUUUCAUAUAAUUUUGGAAUUAAUAGGAUCUCAUUUCUAUUAUGACAUCAUGAUAAAAGGUUUUCAAUUCAUGAACUAGGUACUGAGCUUAAUUUUCCUUUUCUUUUAUGAAUAAACGUAACAUGAUGUUUGUAAAUU